GUCCCCCUCCGUGGUGGGUCGCCCCGUGGCAGGCUGGCAGCACCGACGUAUACUUCCGCUACCUGCCUGGAAAUCGAAGCGGAACCCCAAGUGCGUCGAUCAGACGCCAAAUCCAUGGAGGAAAUGGAGCAGAGGCGGCCCCACUUUGUCGAAAUUCUCAGGCAAACCUCCAUCCAGUACGACGACCCCCAUCCUCAGUUAGCGUGGACACGCCCGCUCCGUAUCCUAGCCGAGGCGGCUGGUGCAGGCACAGAAGGGGUCGACAGGUUGUUGCGGCGGUGUAGUGCCGCUGCGACCAAGGAUGUUGACGGUCAAAGGUGUCAGUGUGGAGGGGCUCGAGCUUGCGGGACGGUGCGCCGCCAAGGUGGUGUUGAGCACUUUAAAACAAUUUUCAAUCGAAUCAGCCACCUCCGUCGCCUUGCAAAUUUCCGUAGGCUCAAACACUUUUCGGAGCACUUCAUAUCUUACAGACAUUUAGCCAAUUGUGUUACUUUGAUUUCACAUCAAGGCUUGAAAUCAUUCGGCUAUUUGAAUGCUUACUGAUAGGCCUAAAUUUCCUGACCGGGUUCUUCUCAUAGAUGAUUUUGUAUUAGAACAAUAUGAAACAGAGAUUACAACUGAAUCAACCCCAUUUGCCGUUUCACUUGCAAGACACCUACACACUGUUGUUUGGUUCUGAGAUGU